UGCAAGUCGAACGCAGUAGCAAUACUGAGUGGCAGACGGGUGAGUAUAAUGUGGGAAUCUGCCUUUUGGUUUGGAAUAACACGGGGAAACUUGUGCUAAUACCGAAUAAGCCUUUACAGGGAAAGUUUUAACGCCGAAAGAUGAGCCCGCACUUGAUUAGCUAGUUGGUAAGGUAAAAGCUUACCAAGGCAACGAUCAAUAGCUGUUCUUAGAGGAAGACCAGCCACAUUGGGACUGAGACACGGCCCAGACUCCUACGGGAGGCAGCAGUGGGGAAUCUUGCACAAUGGGGGAAACCCUGAUGCAGCGAUGCCGCGUGAGUGAAGAAGGCCCUUGGGUUGUAAAACUCUUUCGUCGGGGAAGAAAAUGACUGUACCCGAAUAAGAAGGUCCGGCUAACU
rnacentral:rRNA from 1 species